AUUCAUAGUUUGGCAGAAUUCUAUGGAAGACCUAAAACAGAUGAAUUCCAAGGUCGCCGCCAAUACUGCGAAAGUGACAUUCCAGCUGACAUCACCAGAGCAGAAGAUUUAAGCUUCAGAACCCAUUAGUUUUUGAGAUGCAUGAAAUAAUUCUGAUUGCAAUGGACCUUUGAAGUUUCUUCUUUUUAUCAUACUAUGAACAUUUAACAGACACAAGGCAGAGAGGCCACACAACAUCAGAGACUGUGUUCAAGGAGAUGGCGAAGGACCCUGUUCUACAGAAUACAUGUCCAAACAUGUUCCAAUUACUUUUACUCUCUCUGCUAAUACCAUCUUCUACUGCAGCUGUAGAGAGAUCUUUUAGUCUUAUGAGUUAUGAAUGGACUAUGUACCCCUUUGAGAAAUAGGCUAAAAACUGCAUCAUUAGAUGCUAUUAUGAGAAUCUGCCAUGAAGGUCCUGCUGAAAUGAGUGAAAAUUUAAUAAGAAAUAUUGUAGACACAUUUAUAUCUGCAAAAGACAGAAAAAUGCAGUUUGACUGAAGUAUCUGUAAAACAGUUAAUAAAUACCUAGCACAUUGUUAUGAAAUUAUGUUUUAUUUAAAAUUAUUCAGAGAAAUGUAAGGUAUGACGUUUUUCCCAAUUUCAUCCAAAUGUCGCUAUUUUUCCCAAAUGGAAAGGCCCAGACCCUUGGUUUUGAGACCU